GGUAGCGGCUGCAGCAAUGCAGGGGGGAGGGGGAUUGGUGCAUGGGGUGAUGAGUCCUCCUUGAGCUUUAUUGUGGGGUUGCUACAUUGCUGCCAGGGGUGUGUUGCUAAAGGGCAUUGUUGUUUAUGCGAUGAUGGGGCUAUGGAGUUUUGUGCUUGGCGAGGACGCGAUGUAGGAGGAGUUGCCGAUAUCUCCCCCCCGCCCGCCGCCCUUUUACACUAGCCUUGCUCCUGUGCCUGACGUGUUGAAAUCUGAGCAGUUUGUUGAACCUUCUCUUGAUCGCAUAUUGGACAACAAAGGAUCAAAGUGGAUUGUUUACUUUUCCCCAUUUGCCUCAUCUUAAGACUUUCCAUACUUAUAUUCUGGAGCCAGCAGCAGACCAAGAUGUCCGUUAAGGCCCUGAUCCAGAAACAGAUGUGCACCAACAUCAGCCACUAUUUCAGAUGAUGACUGCAAUACAGACAUAUCUGCUCCCACCCCUACAAUGACCUGCACAAGACUCUGGCUUGGCACUUGAGUGGAGGAGGAGCGUAACUGAUACUCUUCAGGUUGUCAUAGUCAGCACUGAUGGUGCUUAUUACAAAAGGUAAAGUGUGCUGUCAGCCACAGAGUCCUGUGGUUGUCUUUGGUAGAAACAGGAGAGGUUUACCAUUGCCAUCUCCUGUGCAGCAUGAGAUGAUGCCUUUCAGCAUCUUCCUAUAUCGCUGCUACCGUUAUAGGUAUCUUCCAUAGCAGGGGCGUAACAAGGCUGGAGUGGGCCCAGAGACAAAAUUUUAAAAUGGGCCCCUCACUGAUACACACACACACACACACACACACACACACACACACUUCACAAUAUAUAGUCACAUGACUUGCCUCUGGGGGGCCCCUCGAGGCGUGGGGGGCCCCAGGCAGCCGCCUCCCCUUGCCUAAUGGUAGUUAUGCCCCUGUUCCAUAGUCUGGGAAGCAUACCAGUGGGGAUUUGAACCAGCAACCUCUGGCUUGCUAGUCAAGUCAUUUCCUCACUGCUCCAUUAGGUGGCUGCUUAUUACAAGGGACAUCUGAAUUCAGUCCUUCCCAUCCCACUACCCGCACCCUUGCUGGAUCAGCCUUGCUGGAUCAGGGCUCAUGUUUCAUCUUUCUCCCUCCCACUACAGUAGGAAAUUGAAUGAAGGAACAUAGGAAGCUGCCAUAUACUGAGUCAGACCCUUGGUCCAUCUAGCUCAGUAUAGUCUACACAGACUGGCAGCGGCUUCUCCAAGGUUGCAGGCAGGAAUCUCUCUCAGCCCUAUCUUGGAGAUGCCAGAGAGGGAACUUGGAACCUAGAUACACUUCCAUCCCCUAAGGGGAAUAUCUACAGUGCUCACACUUCUAGUCUCCCUUUCAUAUGCAAUCAGGGUAGACCUUGCUUAGCUAAGGGGACAAGUCAUGCUUGCUACCAUAAGACCAGCUCUCCUCUCUAACAGGUAUGACAAUACUGUACCUCUUAAAAAGCAGAGCAGUAUAAAGAUAGCCUGCAGAAGGAUGCAGAUACAAAGUAUAGAUAAAUAAGCAAGAGCCAUGCUUUUUUACUCUCUCGAUCUGACUACACCUUCAAGACAACUCCCUGAUGAAGAGCCAUCUCUGGGCUCAUUUUGGAAGCUUUCCUGAUGUUAGACUACCUCUUGGGACCAGUGUGGAAUGGAUGCCUCAGAGCAUCAGAGCCUGUGCGCAUACCAACAGAAAAAUGAUAGGAUUCUGCAGUCCAGAUCUUGUAUCAUGCAGGCGAUGUACAGACAAAAUGAAGGAGAGCUAAAGUUGCAGAGGAGAUAACUGUUCCCUUGUAUGUUUAGUUCAGCUCUUUUCCAGAGGCAACUCAGUUCUUUCAAAGAGAGUUCAGAACUUCUUAAAUACCGUAUUAAAAUAUGGUGUGGAAGGCAGUUGUGAUAUUUCCUUUAAGAAACUGAAUUAGUGUCACUUCUGAUUAAGAGUUACAGUACUCCAAAUGUGUUGGGGCUACAAAUUAUCUGCUCCUUGAGGUCUCCUCUCCUUUUAUUAUUGCAUUUGGUGCCUUCCCUUCUUCCCUUGAUGCUAGCAAUCUACAUCAGGGCACAGUGUCCAACUGAACUGUAGCUUUUUACAAGUACUGUAUAGAUAGAUAGGUGGAAUGGCAAAUGGAAAUCCAAUUCUCAGUGAACAUAUUUCACCAAGCUCCAAUUCACUUUACCACAUUGGCAUGGUGGAUAUCGACGACAGAGUCCAAUUGCAACUUUCUUCACUGCACAUAUCAGUUUUAUGCCACUUUAACAGCCAUGGCUAUAAUCAAAGAAUUGUGGGAAUUGUUUGCCGAGCUGCUGAAAAUUCUGUCAGAGUUCUCUAACACACUUCUAUAAAUUACAAUUCACAGGGCUCCUUAGAAAGUGAGAAUUUAAACCAGUUCAAAACCAGUUCAAAUCUGCAUGUGGAUUGGAUAUGUCCUACUUAUUGUGGCAUAAGCUUUCAUAGGCUAGACUCUAGAGUUUGCUUUGUUAAUUGCAUCAAGUGUUCUGGAAAGUUCGGUAGGUAUGCGGGUACAGUUUGUUUUUUAAGUGUUUCAAUCUUAUUGGAGACUGGGAGCUGAUUGUUUUUCUAGAUAAUUGAAGGUGGUUUGAAAGAGGGAUUGCUGCUCAUUGCAUGUACAAACCAUCCCUUUUUCAUCUGUUAUAAACAGGUUUUACAGAUUUUGUAGACAAUACAAAAGCUUGCAAAACAUGUUUUACUAGAGGCAUCAAGGAAACAAAAUAAACAAGUGUAUACUCUUUGGGAGGCAAUUGCUCUCUGAAAUCACUUUCAAUGGGUGACAUCCAGACUAAGUUUCACAAUAUUACUACUCAGGAGUUAUUCUAAAAGUCUGCUUAAUUUCAAUAGGACUUCUCAGGAAUAAUUUAGUUUGGCUGUCAGCCAAUGUUCUACAAAAUACUAUUGUCUCUCUUCCUGCCUGAGUUGCACUCUUUCCAAAGGGGAUAGAAUGGGCCAAACAGCAUGUUAUCUUAAAUCCAUAGUUUGGCCUGUAUGUGAUUUUUGUUUUAAAAUCAGCUGUGAGCACCCCCCACCCCAAUCCAGAUUGGCAUCAUGGCAGAGUGAAAGGGUUGCAGGCUCCUAUCAACUGUACUGUAUUUCCAGACCAGACCAGGCCAAACACAGCUGAUUUUUAACAAUCCUACACGUACAUAGUACUUAAAGGCCAAAAUACUUGUAUAAAGUAUUAUAUAAUUUGUCUCUAAUUUUAUGAAGAAUGCUACCGUGAACUUCCCACUACUCGGGGAAAGUGGAGUAUUGUAGCAAGCAAACCACACACUAUUAUUCAAGGCUAAUUGUCGCUAUCAUCAGCCGGUGGUAAUUGCAGGGUGGGGAAGCCAACUUGUGUUGACUUUCAGUCACAUCCUUCCAUGAUAAGGCAAUAAUCAGAAAUGCCCAGCAUAAGCAAAAUUAAUCUCAGACACAGCUUUGGUAUGCCACCGCUAAAAUGUAUUUAGGGUGUUUAGGGUAAGCUGCCAAAGUCAAAUCCUACUUGUGUGAUGGACAUAUAAGUUCUAAUCACACGUUUAUAUUCAUCACUAGUGUGAAUAUAGUGUGCAUGGAUACAGAUCUGUAUGUAUGUACAGUUAUUCACAUGUUAAGUGUAGCACAUGUACAGCACCGCACUUUCUAUCUGUACUGUAUAUUUGAGGGUUCAUUUUUAAAAUGUACACUGCUGCAGUCAUUCACACAAAAACAUGUGCUACAUGUGUACACACAUCAGAACACAAAUAAAUCAUAACAUCUGAGUAGGGUUCCUGUUGGGUACCUAUUACACAGCUGCUAUACCACCAAUGUACAUGGCUGGAAAUUAAUAAACUGGAUUCCCCACCUCCCCCUCUUGCAGCCAGCCAGAGGUUGAGGUGGUACAGAACCACCCCUCAGUAUCUCACUUACAUUACACACCACUCCCCCCACUAAUCCUCCCCACCUACUGUCAGUCACAGAGUUGGCUGAGCUUUCCAUGGAUCCAAACACAACCACUCCCUGCUGAAGAGCACUGAGAAACUCAUGCAGUGAAGUCAUGGCUGUGGGUGGAGACCAAGCUGAGUUCAGCAAGGAGACCUGGUCCAGCCUGACUCAGCCUGUGGGUCCCUCUUGGGCUGGGACCAGAAUGAGGACACCGGAAAGUGGCCUCCUAAAUCUCAGACAACCCUCCAGGCUUCUUAAGGAAUUCAGCAUCUAUGGUCUUUCAGGCCCUGUCACCUCAGGGGGAGAAUACUUGGCUCUUAAUUUAAAGUCUGGUCAACAUCUAGUUUUUCUGGAGCACCACUUUGAGAUGUGAGUGACGGGCAGAGGGGCAGUGCUUCCACUGCCACCCCUUAAAGUGGUCUACCAGCAAAUUUUUGUUUUGGCCCAUGUUUAGCAUGGUGGAAGUGUGUCUAGUGUAAAAGUACCAGCCUUAUCCAGAAACAUUUUCAGCACUACCAGUUGUGCACAGUAUAGCACUGAAUUGGGAAUCCUGUGACUGCUGUGUGGACAUUCCCCCCUUGGAUCACGUUUAUUUGCAUUAAGAUUAGAUUCCCCACCCCCACCACUCUUCAUAUGCACAAUCUGCUAAAUGAAAUUGCAUGAAGGGGUGCAGGCCACACUGCUUGUCUUCUACUUCCUGAUUUUGUUUUGAAUGUAAAAGCCAGAGAGAGUGGAAAAAAGAGGCACAAGCUUUUGUUGGGUGGGACAGAAAUAUCAUGCUGUUCCUCUUCCUGAACAUUUGUCUUCUCCUUCUACAUUAUUGGAUUGUUUAAAAAGGCAAAAUUGCUCUAUUGUACCUAUGUACUAAUUUGUCUAAAUGCCUUGUUAAUUUAAUUAGUUUCAGGAUU